ACAACACCGGUACAUAAUCCCUGCCAAAAAUUGAAGUAAUCACUUCUUUUUGGAUAAAUCCGAAAUCUGCAUCCUCUGGCACAAGACCAAAAGAAACGCUUGCACAUGAUCAACUCAACACAUGCAGGAAGAUACAGAGGGAGAGAGAGAGAGAGAGAGAACUCACGAUCACCAAAGCAGUAAUAGACUCAUUCAUCCACCGGUUCUCUUCCAAGAGAUGACCAAUCACAAUGCAAGCAAGGAGGAGUGCCACAAACAGGUUCAAGGACACCACGGACGCAUGGUCGGAGGUAUAUAGCAUUUGAAACCUUGAUACAACGGUGCUGAAUGCGGCAGCCAUUGUACCAGAAUCUUAAACAACCGAACACCCUCUACUUUCGAUAAUUCAAACAGCUAUUGGUUGACAACACAACAA